AGCGGAUGAGUUGCGAACGGGUGAGUAACGCGUAGGUAACCUGCCUCUUAGCGGGGGAUAACUAUUGGAAACGAUAGCUAAUACCGCAUAAAAGUCGAUAUCGCAUGAUAUUGAUUUGAAAGGUGCAAUUGCAUCACUAAGAGAUGGACCUGCGUUGUAUUAGCUAGUUGGUGAGGUAACGGCUCACCAAGGCGACGAUACAUAGCCGACCUGAGAGGGUGAUCGGCCACACUGGGACUGAGACACGGCCCAGACUCCUACGGGAGGCAGCAGUAGGGAAUCUUCGGCAAUGGGGGCAACCCUGACCGAGCAACGCCGCGUGAGUGAAGAAGGUUUUCGGAUCGUAAAGCUCUGUUGUAAGAGAAGAACGAGUGUGAGAGUGGAAAGUUCACACUGUGACGGUAACUUACCAGAAAGGGACGGCUAACUACGUGCCAGCAGCCGCGGUAAUACGUAGGUCCCGAGCGUUAUCCGGAUUUAUUGGGCGUAAAGCGAGCGCAGGCGGUUAGAUAAGUCUGAAGUUAAAGGCUGUGGCUUAACCAUAGUACGCUUUGGAAACUGUUUAACUUGAGUGCAGAAGGGGAGAGUGGAAUUCCAUGUGUAGCGGUGAAAUGCGUAGAUAUAUGGAGGAA
rnacentral:rRNA from 1 species